rnacentral:rRNA from 1 species
AGCGAACGCUGGCGGCAGGCUUAACACAUGCAAGUCGAGCGGGCACUUUCGGGUGUCAGCGGCGGACGGGUGCGUAACGCGUGGGAACGUGCCCUCUGGUUCGGAAUAACUCAGGGAAACUUGAGCUAAUACCGGAUACGCCCUUUUGGGGAAAGGCUUGCUGCCGGAGGAUCGGCCCGCGUCUGAUUAGCUGGUUGGUGAGGUAACGGCUCACCAAGGCGACGAUCAGUAGCUGGUCUGAGAGGAUGAUCAGACACACUGGGACUGAGACACGGCCCAGAAUCCUACGGGAGGCAGCAGUGGGGAAUAUUGGACAAUGGGCGCAAGGCUGAUCCAGCCAUGCCGCGUGAGUGAUGAAGGCCUUAGGGUUGUAAAGCUCUUUUAUCCGGGACGAUAAUGACGGUACCGGAGGAAUAAGCCCCGGCUAACUUCGUG